rnacentral:misc_RNA from 1 species
GCAAAUUUAAACAUGUUGGAGAUUUUUGUUACAAAGUUCAAAACCUAACUAAAUAGUAGCAGCUAUAAUACUCCGAAAAUGCGAUUGCAAAUUCGUUGUCGGUGAUAAAAAGCAAGCACUUCACCUGUACAGAGUACAGACGGACCGUCACCGUCUAAAAUUCGGAGCUUCGUCGGCGUUAAUCUCCGCCUUCCGGUAGUGUAUUCAGAUCCAAAUCAACUCUUUUAUGGCUAUCCUCUACUUCACCGAUCUGAGCAUUUUUCUGAAGAUAUUUCACUGCCACGUUCAUCCUCCGUAAGAUCGCGAAGAAUUCGUUAACUUCCGCCUCCGAUGGCGGCGGCGGCUUCGAUACUACGGUGUUCGCCUUCACAGAACUUUCUCUCUCAUGUCUGCUUCGAUCACCGCCGUUGUCAGUUCUCUUCCGCUUCUUGUGCCGGUCCAUCAGUGUAGCCUCACCGUUGUCGAUUUUAAUUUUAUUCUCUGCUCUCUAGAAUAGUCUAUGAAGAAGUCUGCCGUUGUCAGUUCUCU